UGAAUUUCUUGGGAGUCUUAGAAAUU
rnacentral:piRNA from 1 species